CAAGGGCUGAGGACAGACUGGCAGCAAAGAUCCCCGCAGUGAUCAAGGGACCAAACCCGGACACCAAACUGAGAACCUGAAAAAAACAGAUGUAACCUUCCCAUUGGUGGAGAUGGCCGAGACGGAAAGUGCGGUGAUGGACGUCACGACAACAGACAUCAGGAUGAUAACCCAGCCCGGAGUGCAUCGCGUGGAGAGAAAAGAGGUGCACACUCCUGCCCUGGAUCAAGGCAGUGGGUGGCCGGACGAGUAACUCACGGAUUCCAGCUUGCGAGGUGAUCCAGGAUAGCCGAAGGAACAGGAUCACUCCCCAGAUGUUAAGCAUGCAGCGGAUCUGUACACCAGGACAC